GAUAGACAGUGGAUCUCUUGGGACGAACAGUUGAAAGUCUUUCUCUCACUCUCCUUUUCUCUCUCUCUCUCUCUCUCUCUCUCUCUCUCUCUCUCUCUCUCUCUCUCUCUCUCUCUCUCUCUCUCUCUCUCUCUCUCUCUCUGUCUCUGUCUCUGUCUCUCUCUCUCUCUCUCUCUCGUUAUUCUGCUGUAAGUGGACGAGCUGGGGCUAUGCAUCUCCAGAGUGAUUCAUUCGAUUGAAGAAAGGAGACAAAACUAGCUAGCUGCCAGUCACCAGCCAGAGGGGUGUGUUAACUAGCUCCAAGUCUGACCUCUCCUCUGCUCUCCUCUUCUCUUCUCUUCUCUUCUCUUCUCUUCUCUUCUCUCCUCUUCGGCAACCGAACACAGGAUAGGACAACCCUUCUCUCUCUCUCAUCUCCUCUCCUCUCCACCACUGGCUGUGGGAACUGGGAACAAGACCGGUAUAGCCCCCUCUAUACGCCCCCAAAAGAGACCUCGGCACAGGACAGACUGAGCUUCUGCUGCUGGAUCUGAAAUGGCACAUUCCUUAGAGCAGUCUUCCCAGAAGGAACUCCUCCGCUGACUGCUCCACUCCUCAGCUGAACUCAGUCGGCUCCACGCGGCACUGCUGGAUCUGGGAGCAUGGGAGGGUCUGACUGGGAGCAGCCUGAGGACACAGGCGGACCACAGUUGGGGAGACAUCUGGAGGCCGCACAGCCACGGGCCAGGGACGGGCAACCGGCACAGCUUGCUACCAGUCUGGCUGUGGUGGGGAGGGUUCCUGGCACCGUGAUUUGGUGCACAAACAUAAACGAAAAUCACAUUGCCAGGGAUUUCCACCCUUUCACAUGUAGUUCUCCAGGUGGGGUCUGUAUGUUUUGCCCGUCAGGAGGACUUUCAUGUCUGUCUUCUGUCUUGGCCCUAUGUGGUCUAUGGAAACAAUAUAAUGUAAAAUAUUAGAGCGAGUGGAUAGGAAGGUUGAAUGUCAGGAAGUUCAACUCCAGAUAUAAGCUGUUCUUAGCUCUCACAGUGAUUUACAGAUUACCUUCUGGUAUUAGCUCCUUACAAACAAAAUCCCAAACAAAAAACAACUUUCCCCUGUGGAAAGUGUUUUUAUUCCUCUAAAGCUGCAGAUGAGAGUACAAGCUGAAAUCCAAACUGUUCUUUACAAAUGGCCAGGAAGUAAAUCCAAUGCAUUUGAAAGCAGGCCAGGUUUACACAAUGUAUCAUAUUUUGGGUAAAGAUCAUCACCGUUAGGAAUGCACAAUGACAUAUAGCUUAGAACUAAGGAGAUUGUCUGCAGACUCUCUAUUUGAACUGUAGGAAACUGAUCCUACUUAGGCAGCCUUUGCUUAUAGACUUAAGGAGUGGUUAGAUUUAAAGAACAAAGAGUGUUUUACCAUCUAUAGAAGUCUACAAAGUACCUAUAGCUUUAGAGCAGCCAUACUCAACAGGCGGACCGCGGUCCAGAUUUGGACCCAGAACGGGUUCAAUACAGACCACGGGUCCCAACAAUUAGCUUUUUAUAAAAGGGGCGCUAGAGUGGUUGUCUACUAUGGACAUAUGGAAAUUAUCUAGAGAAUAUUAAAAUUGAAUGCUGACCCUUGGUAACAUUCGGGAUUUGCUAUUUUUCAUGGUUCUAGGUCUAUUUUCAAGCAUUUUGAACAAUGAGCCUUCAGGGAGCCAAAUAAUGCUGCUCUUUUACGUGAAUGGUGCCAAAAGAUGCGGCUCACGGAAAAGACUCGGAAGGCCCAUAGCUAAUAUGAACACACAUAAUACAUGGCAAAAUGUGUAGAAUUGCAGAACAUUUGUUUAAAACUCACGCCAACAAGAGGAGCAUGUACAGUUUGAACAGUUUGGGUCGCAUGGGUUGCGAGGUGGUGAUUUCUUACGACACCGAUAACUCACAGUAUCCAUCAAGACCUUUGCAACCUAGGAAAUGUGUGUGAUCGGACCUUCUCAAAUAGAACCCCUGCUAUAGACGAAUCAAUUAAAGUUUCUCCCAACUGUCUGCCAGUGAAAGUCUCUAUUCUUUUCCUCAUUUGCAUCCUGUCAUGAGCAGCCAAUUGCUAAAGGCACAGAGCUUAGCUAAUUGGUGAGCAUUGAUCCCUCUUAUAUGUUGUUCACAGUGGCUAAGUUCAGUGCCUGAGGUGAAAUAGUUGAUGUGGCGGGAUGUGUUCCAAACGAUGGCGAUGAAUGCAAAGAGCACUGGCUGAGAUCUGAGAUGUGAAGAUGAAGGAAGAGGGUGGAAAGAUAGGGACAGAGUUGUGCAGCAGUGGAACGCAGCACGAUCCCCGUAAAGAGCGGAGGAAGGAAGAAAUGCUACUGAGAGAAUGUCUGGCCAGCCUAGGCAUGCCUAGUUCCACUCCACCUCAGUCAGUCAAUCAGAGCACAGCACCCCACCUUUGUCACUCAGCACAGGCACUAGUUUAUGAGGCAUGCCUCACUUCACCUCCUUCCCAGAGCUGUAUGUGUAGGCUAGGCUGCCUGCCCAACAUUCACACUCUGAGCUGUGGAGGACUGUGGGUGUUUGGUACUUGGUACAGUACCAUGCCAAGUAACUCUGAGGCCACUUUACGAGUGUGUGAAAUUAACUUUAUGAGUUAACAUACUGUGGGGUCCAAAAUUAUUGACACCCUUGAUAAAGAUGAGCAGUAAUGACUGUAUAAAAUAAAUAAUUCAAAUACUGAG